GUAGGUGGCAAGCGUUGUCCGGAAUUAUUGGGCGUAAAGCGCGCGCAGGCGGUCCUUUAAGUCUGAUGUGAAAGCCCACGGCUCAACCGUGGAGGGUCAUAGGAAACUGGGGGACUUGAGUACAGAAGAGGAAAGCGGAAUUCCAAGUGUAGCGGUGAAAUGCGUAGAGAUUUGGAGGAACACCAGUGGCGAAGGCGGCUUUCUGGUCUGUAACUGACGCUGAGGCGCGAAAGCGUGGGGAGCAAACAGGAUUAGAUACCCUGGUAGUCCACGCCGUAAACGAUGAGUGCUAAGUGUUAGGGGGUUUCCCGCCCCCUUAGUGCUGCAGCUAACGCAUUAAGCACUCCGCCUGGGGAGUACGGCCGCAAGGCUG
rnacentral:rRNA from 1 species